rnacentral:ncRNA from 1 species
ACUGAUGCAGUCAAUGGGCUUUUCUCCCUGGUUUGAGAGGACUGGGAAAUCUUCUCAAAUUACAUUGUGAUGGGGAUAGAUCAUUACAAUAUUGAUCUUCAAC